rnacentral:rRNA from 1 species
CAGUAGCCGCGGGAAAACGGAGGGUGCAAGCGUUAAUCGGAAUUACUGGGCGUAAAGCGCACGCAGGCGGUUUGUUAAGUCAGAUGUGAAAUCCCCGAGCUUAACUUGGGAACUGCAUUUGAAACUGGCAAGCUAGAGUCUUGUAGAGGGGGGUAGAAUUCCAGGUGUAGCGGUGAAAUGCGUAGAGAUCUGGAGGAAUACCGGUGGCGAAGGCGGCCCCCUGGACAAAGACUGACGCUCAGGUGCGAAAGCGUGGGGAGCAAACAGGAUUAGAUACCCCUGUAGUCCCUGUCUCUUAUAC